rnacentral:rRNA from 1 species
UACACUCCUGCGGGAGGCAGCAGUGGGGAAUAUUGGACAAUGGGCGCAAGCCUGAUCCAGCCAUGCCGCGUGAGUGAUGAAGGCCCUAGGGUUGUAAAGCUCUUUCACCGGUGAAGAUAAUGACGGUAACCGGAGAAGAAGCCCCGGCUAACUUCGUGCCAGCAGCCGCGGUAAUACGAAGGGGGCUAGCGUUGUUCGGAUUUACUGGGCGUAAAGCGCACGUAGGCGGACUAUUAAGUCAGGGGUAAAAUCCCGGGGCUCAACCCCGGAACUGCCUUUGAUACUGGUAGUCUUGAGUUCGAGAGAGGUGAGUGGAAUUCCGAGUGUAGAGGGGAAAUUCGUAGAUAUUCGGAGGAACACCAGUGGCGAAGGCGGCUCACUGGCUCGAUACUGACGCUGAGGUGCGAAAGCGUGGGGAGCAAACAGGAUUAGAUACCCGUGUAGUCCCAUGAU